rfam:Heligmosomoides polygyrus genome assembly, scaffold: HPBE_scaffold0008755
GCGUCGAUAGUGUAAGGCGAACCUCGCUGCCCGGAAAGCAGAAGGUGCGGGUUCGAGUUCCGCCUGGCGCA